ACGUACACUCCUGCGGGAGGCAGCAGUGGGGAAUAUUGCACAAUGGGCGCAAGCCUGAUGCAGCGACGCCGCGUGGGGGAUGAAGGCCUUCGGGUUGUAAACUCCUUUCGCUAGGGACGAAGCUUUUUUGUGACGGUACCUAGAUAAGAAGCACCGGCUAACUACGUGCCAGCAGCCGCGGUAAUACGUAGGGUGCGAGCGUUGUCCGGAAUUACUGGGCGUAAAGGGCUCGUAGGUGGUUUGUCGCGUCGUCUGUGAAAUUCUGGGGCUUAACUCCGGGCGUGCAGGCGAUACGGGCAUAACUUGAGUGCUGUAGGGGUAACUGGAAUUCCUGGUGUAGCAGUGAAAUGCGCAGAUAUCAGGAGGAACACCGAUGGCGAAGGCAGGUUACUGGGCAGUUACUGACGCUGAGGAGCGAAAGCAUGGGUAGCGAACAGGAUUAGAUACCCCAGUAGUCCCAUGAU
rnacentral:rRNA from 1 species